CCCCCUCCAUGCUCGCACCCUCAUCCCCGCCCACCCUUGAUGCUACACGACCCCUCAUACAACGACUGCAUGGCUUAUAACGACCUUGAAUGUCGACGGAGAAGCCGGAAAACGGGACCAGCAACUCAUAAGACAGCGUUGUUCUCAUGGACCCUCUUCGAAUCGCGUUGCUUCGCGCUCACUGAACUGAUUCGAAGCGCGAUUCGAUCCUUUGUGCUUCGGUCUCUCCCCACAUCGCCCCCCCUGAGUUUGACAACUGCAGGCAGCUGAGCGACGACCUGCAGGUGGAGUGGCAGGCCCAGGAAGACGAAGUCCACAUCAGACUCACGGCCAAGAUGGACGAAGACCAGUACAUCGCUUUCGGACGUCCGAUCUGAUGACAAGCCAGAAAUGCUGAACAGUGACAUUGUGGUGGCCUAUUACGACCCAGAUGAUGGUUCCUUCCACGCCAUAGACUACAGUGUCACAGCAAGGUCGCAGGUAAGUGUUUUUAUUGAGAUUUUCU
rnacentral:lncRNA from 1 species